GGUUUUAUAUUCAAUUAAUGAUUUUAGAUUGCAAGUCUAAAGGUGUAAAUAUAUACUAAAACCU
rnacentral:tRNA from 1 species